rnacentral:tRNA from 1 species
UGUUUUGUGGCUUAGUUGGUAAAAGCGCCGGUCUAGCGAAUACGGAUUCGUGCGUUCGUAUCCCACCAGAACGC